rnacentral:rRNA from 1 species
CGGACGGGUGAGUAGCGCGUGGAUAACCUGCCUUACACUGGGGGAUAACACUUAGAAAUAGGUGCUAAUACCGCAUAAGCGCACAGCCCCGCAUGGGGGAGUGUGAAAAACUCCGGUGGUGUAAGAUGGAUCCGCGUCUGAUUAGCUAGUUGGCGGGGUAACGGCCUACCAAGGCAGCGAUCAGUAGCCGGCCUGAGAGGGUGGACGGCCACAUUGGGACUGAGACACGGCCCAGACUCCUACGGAAGGCAGCAG